GGCGAACGGUGAGUACGCC
rfam:Human immunodeficiency virus type 1, isolate RF (HAT-3), complete genome.